UGCAUUUCACAUGGAUGGUCAGGAUACUAGUCUCUGAGCCUCUCAGUUCCUUCAUCUGUAUGAUGGGUAAUGGUAGCACCAACCUCACAGGGUGCUCAUGGGGAUCACCUAAAAAGCUGGUUAGGAAACUAACUGGCAUAGGUAAGUAAUCAAAAGAUGAAAGGCAGUGAGACAUGGUGGAGAGAGUGGGAACUAGAGGAUGGUGGUCUGGUCCAAAUGACAAAGGUCUGUUGACAAAGGUCUGUUGACAAAGUUCUAAUGACAAAGGUCCAAAUGACAAAGGUCAACUGUCAUUAACCACUUGCGUGACACUGGCCUGCCUCUCUUGCUUUCGUUGCUUUAUCAGAAA
rnacentral:lncRNA from 10 species